rnacentral:rRNA from 1 species
CGGGCGGGGCGGGGGCACGGGGGGAACGCGAAGAACCUUACCAGGUCUUGACAUCCUCUGACAACUCUAGAGAUAGAGCGUUCCCCUUCGGGGGACAGAGUGACAGGUGGUGCAUGGUUGUCGUCAGCUCGUGUCGUGAGAUGUUGGGUUAAGUCCCGCAACGAGCGCAACCCUUGAUCUUAGUUGCCAGCAUUUAGUUGGGCACUCUAAGGUGACUGCCGGUGACAAACCGGAGGAAGGUGGGGAUGACGUCAAAUCAUCAUGCCCCUUAUGACCUGGGCUACACACGUGCUACAAUGGAUGGUACAAAGGGCUGCAAGACCGCGAGGUCAAGCCAAUCCCAUAAAACCAUUCUCAGUUCGGAUUGUAGGCUGCAACUCGCCUACAUGAAGCUGGAAUCGCUAGUAAUCGCGGAUCAGCAUGCCGCGUAUA